AUUGAACGCUGGCGGCAGGCCUAACACAUGCAAGUCGAGCGGAGCGGCGGACGGGAGGGUAAUGCCUAUGAAUCGGCCUGGUAGUGGGGGAUAACGUCCGGCAACGGGCGAUAAUACCGCAUACUUUAAGAUGAAACUAGGUCGCAUUAGAUAGUUGGUGGGGUAAAGGCCUACCAGGGCGACGAUCCGUAACUGGUCUGAGAGGAUGAACAGGCACACUGGAACUGAGACACGGCCCAGACUCCUACGGGAGGCAGCAGUGGGGAAUAUGGGACAAUGGGCGAAAGCCUGAUGCAGCCAUGACGCGUGUGUGAAGAAGGUCUUCGGCUUGUAAAGCACUUUAAGUUGGGAGGCGGUACCAGCAGAAUAAGCACCGGCUAACUUCGUGCCAGCAGCCGCGGUAAUUC
rnacentral:rRNA from 1 species